rnacentral:lncRNA from 1 species
AUGAAUCGAAACCAAAUGACUGAUAAUGUUGCUUCAACAAUCAGGCCUAGCCGGAUGUAGUUACUUGCCAUAAUCCCUAAUUUUUGCCUAGAUUGCCCCAAGGUGGGGUACUCAAUCUACCGGGAUGAUUUUUCUGUUUUAUGUCUCUAACUUUUUCCUGGAUCGCCCUUUCUGGUUUUCAAUCCACCGAAACACUCAUUUUUGCCUAAGCCACCCUUUCGGGUCAUCUUCUCCGGUGGAGCUCACCGGACUGGUC